rnacentral:rRNA from 1 species
CAGCCGCCGCGGUAAUACGUAGGGUGCAAGCGUUAAUCGGAAUUACUGGGCGUAAAGCGUGCGCAGGCGGUUUGUUAAGACAGAUGUGAAAUCCCCGGGCUCAACCUGGGAACUGCAUUUGUGACUGGCAAGCUAGAGUAUGGCAGAGGGGGGUGGAAUUCCGCGUGUAGCAGUGAAAUGCGUAGAUAUGCGGAGGAACACCGAUGGCGAAGGCAGCCCCCUGGGCCAAUACUGACGCUCAUGCACGAAAGCGUGGGGAGCAAACAGGAUUAGAUACCCCUGUAGUCCCUGUCUCUUAUAA